UGNGCAGCCCUANCAUGCAAGUCGAGCGGUAACAGAAAGUAGCUUGCUACUUUGCUGACGAGCGGCGGACGGGUGAGUAAUGCUUGGGAACAUGCCUUGAGGUGGGGGACAACAGUUGGAAACGACUGCUAAUACCGCAUAAUGUCUACGGACCAAAGGGGGCUUCGGCUCUCGCCUUUAGAUUGGCCCAAGUGGGAUUANCUANUUGGUGAGGUAAUGGCUCACCAAGGCGACGAUCCCUAGCUGGUUUGAGAGGAUGAUCAGCCACACUGGGACUGAGACACGGCCCAGACUCCUACNGGAGGCAGCANUGGGGAAUAUUGCACAAUGGGCGCAAGCCUGAUGCAGCCAUGCCGCGUGUGUGAAGAANGCCUUCNGGUUGUAAAGCACUUUCAGUCNNGAGGAAAGGUUAACGGUUAAUACCCGUUAGCUGUGACGUUACUGACANAAGAAGCACCGGCUAACUCCGUGCCAGCAGCCGCGGUAA
rnacentral:rRNA from 1 species